rnacentral:lncRNA from 1 species
UUAAUAUUCAAAUUAACAAAUUGACCGCUGUUCAUUAUUUUCAAUCACUCCGCAUCAACUCGACUAAAAAUCCAUAUAUUUAUGUGUAAUUGGCUGUACAUUGAAUUAUGGGAUGUCUUGCGGGACCAUAUUAUAAACAACAUAUAUUUACUAUAUAUCUUUGUUGUCUGCUAAAUUUAUUAUAUACUAUAAUAUUAGAUUUCGUUUUUCAAGAAUUAAGUUGCUUUUUCUAUAAAUACUCACAAUACUAAAUAUGCAAGCCUUUUGCUGAGCCAUCAGUUGUGUAAACAAGCGUGGAAAGAAUGUUGGAAAUAAUGUAUCUUUUUUUAGAUUUCCAAAGGAUAGAAAUAGAUGCAAGCUUUGGGUUCGUAAUUGUCGUCGUCAAGAUCUCGAUACAAAAUCAUGUGAAGAACUUAAACUUAAAUAUACUAUUUUUUGUGAACAUUUUGAUUCUUUCCAAUACUGUCUUGCCAAUAAUGGUAGUAAAAGAGCACUUGUUACUUCAGUAUUAACAAUUUUUAACUUUCCAAAUCAACCUUCUACCUUUAAUUUAAGAAAAAACAGCCUACAAACAGACUUCAUUUACAAAAGAAAAUACAAAAAAAAAGAAAUCACUGUUAAAGUUGAAUUAAAUUAAAUAAAUAGUGUUGAGAAUAGCAGUACAAAUAAUGUAACUGUCAAAACUACUUUUAAGAAUAAAUAUUUAUCAUCUCAAGUUAAGAUUUGUCAACAAGAGCUCUCAAGUGUUUAGGAUUUUUAUUAUUAAAACAACAAAUUUCACAUCCCACUACAGGAGCAAAAGUUUAUAUAAUAUUUGAUUCACCUCAUCUUAUAAAAAUGUUAGAAACAAUUUAAUAAAACAUGAUAUUUUAUCUGAUGGUAAAAUAAUAUCGUGGAAGCAUCUGGAGGAACUAAUUUAGACAAGGUUAAUGCUGUGCGACUUGUGCCAAAGUUGACAGAUCGUCAUUUAGAUCCAGGAUUACUAUUAUCCAUGCUACUAAAAUUGGCAACGCAAAUUUUUAGUAGUCAAGUUGCUACUGCUUUGACUGAAUAUGCUUCUGCUAAACUAUUACCUGAAAAUUUUAUCUUAAAUUCUUGUAAACUAAAAGCAGAUAAAUCAACACGCUCUGCUUUAACUCUAAAUAGUAGUUUUAUACAAAAGGUUAAAAAUUUAAAUAUUUGGAUUAAGGUUUGGCAUUUUACUGGUGCUCGCAGCUAAAAAAGUAUAUCCAGUCAUUGGGGUUUAGAUGUCACUAUUUUUAAUAAUCUUUAUCUUGCAAACAAGUUGCUUCAUGAGGAUUUUUUUUAUGUUUGCACAGUUCAAUUUAAUCAGGACUGCUUAUAAUUUUUUUUUUUUUUUUGCAUUAGUACGAAGCAAAGGAGGCUGGAAUGACAGACCAACUGCAAUGCAGUUUAAAUCAGCAAUAUUUAAAUCAAAAUUAUUUAAAAACAAACAAAAACCUUACGCAUUACAAAAUGUUUCAACUGAUUCAGUUUCACAGUCAAUUAAACAGGUUUUGAAAUUAAUUGCAGAUAAUUUGAUAAAGAAAGUUCAAGUCUGUCAAAAAUGUGUACAAGUUCUUUCAAGUGACACCCUGUGAAAUUAACUUAUUUAAUUCUGAUUCUUUUUUACUAAACCUACUUCACGAAAUGGAAACUGUUUUUAUAAUGCAAAUGAAACUUAUAUUAACUAAAAAAAAUAUUAUACAACAAAUUAAUAAAAUAAUAAAAAACGAUUGCAAUUUUUCAUUUCUUUAUGAUGAAUAUUUUGAUCAUGCUUUUCAUUUAGAAGAAAGUUUAAUCAGACACUAUGUUUGUAUGAGAAUAUCAAGACAUGUAAAAACAAGUUAGCUCGCAUUAUCCAUGCUUGAUUUUAUUUUAAUGAUAAUUUUUGAAACAAGAUA